AAAUCAAGGUGUUGAGUGUAAUUUCUUAAAAGACCUUUGUAUCUCCCCCAUGAUUCGUAUAAGGACUCGUCGUCGUUUUGUUGAAAAUUAGCAAUAUUUUUCUUGAGUUU